rnacentral:rRNA from 1 species
UGGGGAAUAUUGGACAAUGGGCGCAAGCCUGAUCCAGCCAUACCGCGUGGGUGAAGAAGGCCUUCGGGUUGUAAAGCCCUUUUGUUGGGAAAGAAAGCAUUCGGUUAAUACCCGAUUGUUCUGACGGUACCCAAAGAAUAAGCACCGGCUAACUUCGUGCCAGCAGCCGCGGUAAUACGAAGGGUGCAAGCGUUACUCGGAAUUACUGGGCGUAAAGCGUGCGUAGGUGGUUGUUUAAGUCUGUCGUGAAAGCCCUGGGCUCAACCUGGGAAUUGCGAUGGAAACUGGGCGACUAGAGUGUGGCAGAGGGUAGUGGAAUUCCUGGUGUAGCAGUGAAAUGCGUAGAGAUCAGGAGGAACAUCCGUGGCGAAGGCGACUGCCUGGGCCAACACUGACACUGAGGCACGAAAAGCGUGGGGAGCAAACAGGAUUAGAUACCCUGGUAGUCCACGCCCUAAACGAUGCGAACUGGAUGUUGGGUGCAAUUUUGGCACGCAGUAUCGAAGCUAACGCGUUAAGUUCGCCGCCUGGGGAGUACGGUCGCAAGACUGAAACUCAAAUGAAUUGACGGGGUCAUAGCUGUUUUCCU